GAUGAACGCUGACAGAAUGCUUAACGCAUGCAAGUCCACUUGAAUUUGGGUUUUUUCACUUAGAUUUGGGUGGCGGACGGGUGAGUAACGCGUAAAGAACUUGCCUCACAGCUAGGGACAACAUUUGGAAACGAAUGCUAAUACCUGAUAUUAUGAUUAUAAGGCAUCUUAGAAUUAUGAAAGCUAUAUGCGCUGUGAGAGAGCUUUGCGUCCCAUUAGCUAGUUGGAGAGGUAACGGCUCACCAAGGCGAUGAUGGGUAGCCGGCCUGAGAGGGUGAACGGCCACAAGGGGACUGAGACACGGCCCGUACUCCGACGGGAGGCAGCAGUGGGGAAUAUUGGACAAUGGACCAAGAGUCUGAUCCAGCAAUUCUGUGUGCACGAUGACGUUUUUCGGAAUGUAAAGUGCUUUCAGUUGGGAAGAAAAAAAUGACGGUACCAACAGAAGAAGUGACGGCUAAAUACGUG
rnacentral:rRNA from 1 species